AUUGAACGCUGGCGGCAUGCUUUACACAUGCAAGUCGAACGGCAGCGCGGGCUUCGGCCUGGCAGCGAGUGGCGAACGGGUGAGUAAUGCAUCGGAACGUGCCCAGUAGUGGGGGAUAGCCCGGCGAAAGCCGGAUUAAUACCGCAUACGACCUGAGGGUGAAAGCGGGGGACCGAAAGGCCUCGCGCUAUUGGAGCGGCCGAUGUCGGAUUAGCUAGUUGGUGGGGUAAAGGCUUACCAAGGCGACGAUCCGUAGCUGGUCUGAGAGGACGACCAGCCACACUGGGACUGAGACACGGCCCAGACUCCUACGGGAGGCAGCAGUGGGGAAUUUUGGACAAUGGGGGCAACCCUGAUCCAGCCAUGCCGCGUGCGGGAAGAAGGCCUUCGGGUUGUAAACCGCUUUUGUUCGGGAAGAAAUCCUCUGGGCUAAUACCCCGGGGGGAUGACGGUACCGGAAGAAUAAGCACCGGCUAACUACGUG
rnacentral:rRNA from 1 species